rnacentral:rRNA from 1 species
UGCUUAAUACAUGCAAGCCGAGCGGAAGUAGUAAUACUUUAGCGGCGCACGGGUGAGUAACACGUAAAUAACCUGCCUCAAAGCUUGGGAUAACUGUUCUAACGGACUGCUAAUACCGGAUGUGGCGUAUAGUUGGCAUCUACUAUACGUUAAAGCAGCGAUGCGCUUUGAGAUGGAUUUGCGGACUAUUAGCUAGUUGGUAAGGUAGUGGCUUACCAAGGCUUUGAUAGUUAGCCGGCCUGAGAGGGUGAACGGCCACAAUGGGACUGAGACACGGCCCAUACUCCUACGGGAGGCAGCAGUAGGGAAUAUUGCGCAAUGGAUGAAAGUCUGACGCAGCAACUCCGCGUGAUGGACGACGGUCUUCGGAUUGUAAACAUCUUUUAUUUGUGAAGAAAAAAUUAAAAUUGACGGUAGCAAAUGAAUAAGCUCCGGCUAAAUAUGUGCCAGCAGCCGCGGUAAUACAUAUGGAGCGAGCGUUACUCGGAAUCACUGGGCGUAAAGGGUGCGUAGGCGGUUUAAUAAGUCAUAGUUUUAACUUUGGGGCUUAACCUCGAUUGUGAUUGUGAUACUGUUUAACUUGAAUACUUUAGAGGUAAACGGAAUUUUCGGUGUAGCGGUGGAAUGCGCAGAUAUCGGAAAGAACACCGAUGGCGAAGGCAGUUUGCCGGUGAGAUAUUGACGCUGAGGCACGAGAGCGUGGGUAGCAAACAGGAUUAGAUACCCUGGUAGUCCACGCCGUAAACGAUGGACAUUAGUCGUUGGGCUGCAAGGCUCAGUGGCGUAGAUAACUUGUUAAAUGUCCCGCCUGGGUAGUACGUCCGCAAGGAUGAAACCCAAAGGAAUUGACGGGGACCCGCACAAGCGGUGGAGCAUGUGCUUUAAUUCGAUGCAACGCGAAGAACCUUACCCGGUCUUGACAUAGUUCUGCUCGUCCCAGAGAUGGGAUUUUCAGCAAUGACAGGACAUACAGAUGCUGCAUGGUUGUCGUCAGCUCGUGUCGUGAGAUGUUGGGUUAAGUCCCGCAACGAGCGCAACCCUUGCCGAUAGUUGCCAACAGGUAAUGCUGGGGACUCUAUUGGGACUGCCUUCGCAAGGAGGAGGAAGGUGGGGAUGACGUCAAAUCAUCAUGGCUCUUACGACCGGGGCUA